CGCUGGCGGCGUGCCUAAUACAUGCAAGUCGAACGGUUUUUCUAUGGAAGCUUGCUUCCACUGAGAAGAUAGUGGCGAACGGGUGAGUAACACGUGGGUAACCUGCCCAUAAGAGGGGGGAUAACAUCCGGAAACGGGUGCUAAUACCGCAUAGUUUUCUUGAUCGCAUGAUCGGGAAAGGAAAGACGGCCUUUGUGCUGUCGCUUAUGGAUGGACCCGCGGCGUAUUAGUUAGUUGGUGAGGUAACGGCUCACCAAGACGAUGAUACGUAGCCGACCUGAGAGGGUGAUCGGCCACAUUGGGACUGAGACACGGCCCAAACUCCUACGGGAGGCAGCAGUAGGGAAUCUUCCGCAAUGGACGAAAGUCUGACGGAGCAACGCCGCGUGAGUGAAGAAAGGUUUUCGGAUCGUAAAACUCUGUUGUCAGAGAAGAACAAGUUGGAGAGUAACUGCUCCAGCCUUGACGGUAUCUGACCAGAAAGCCACGGCUAACUACGUGCCAGCCGCCGC
rnacentral:rRNA from 1 species